rnacentral:tRNA from 1 species
GUGGGUUGUAGCUCAGUGGUAGAGCACUUGCCUAGCAUGUGUGAGGCACUGGGUUUGAUUCUCAAUACCACA